rnacentral:lncRNA from 1 species
AAGGAAAAAUAAAAUGCACACUUUCAUGCCUAUUAUUUAGGCACAAGGUGUAGCAAGAUAAUAACAAAAGGAAAAAAAUAAAAGAAGGAAGGAAAACAAAAGAGGCAGGCCUGGGAUUCGAACCCAGGGCCUCUGGUUCCAACCACAGAGCCUGAUCCACCACACUACAGUCCAUGCUAUCGACACAGAGAGGGGAUCGAGCAGGGUAAGGUGUCCCGUGUGGCUACAAUGUCGAAACAACUACAAAACCAAAAACGUGCCGAGGGGGGAUUCGAACCCGCAACCUCCUAACAGGC